AACGAACGCUGGCGGCAGGCUUAACACAUGCGAGUCGAACGCCCCGCAAGGGGAGUGGCAGACGGGUGAGUAACGCGUGGGAAUCUACCCAGUUCUACGGAACAACAGUUGGAAACGACUGCUAAUACCGUAUACGCCCUACGGGGGAAAGAUUUAUCGGAAUUGGAUGAGCCCGCGUAAGAUUAGCUAGUUGGUGAGGUAAUGGCUCACCAAGGCGACGAUCUUUAGCUGGUCUGAGAGGAUGAUCAGCCACACUGGGACUGAGACACGGCCCAGACUCCUACGGGAGGCAGCAGUGGGGAAUAUUGGACAAUGGGCGCAAGCCUGAUCCAGCCAUGCCGCGUGAGUGAUGAAGGCCUUAGGGUUGUAAAGCUCUUUCAGUAGGGAAGAUAAUGACGGUACCUACAGAAGAAGCCCCGGCUAACUUCGUGCCAGCAGCCGCCGUAACAC
rnacentral:rRNA from 1 species